rnacentral:rRNA from 1 species
UGCCUGUGCCGGCUUUCUUCACAUCUGAGUCGAACGAUGAAGCCCAGCUUGCUGGGUGGAUUAGUGGCGAACGGGUGAGUAACACGUGAGUAACCUGCCCUUAACUCUGGGAUAAGCCUGGGAAACUGGGUCUAAUACCGGAUAGGAGCGCCUACCGCAUGGUGGGUGUUGGAAAGAUUUAUCGGUUUUGGAUGGACUCGCGGCCUAUCAGCUUGUUGGUGAGGUAAUGGCUCACCAAGGCGACGACGGGUAGCCGGCCUGAGAGGGUGACCGGCCACACUGGGACUGAGACACGGCCCAGACUCCUACGGGAGGCAGCAGUGGGGAAUAUUGCACAAUGGGCGAAAGCCUGAUGCAGCGACGCCGCGUGAGGGAUGACGGCCUUCGGGUUGUAAACCUCUUUCAGUAGGGAAGAAGCGAAAGUGACGGUACCUGCAGAAGAAGCACCGGCUAACUACGUGCCAGCAGCCGCGGUAAUACGUAGGGUGCGAGCGUUAUCCGGAAUUAUUGGGCGUAAAGAGCUCGUAGGCGGUUUGUCGCGUCUGUCGUGAAAGUCCGGGGCUUAACCCCGGAUCUGCGGUGGGUACGGGCAGACUAGAGUGCAGUAGGGGAGACUGGAAUUCCUGGUGUAGCGGUGGAAUGCGCAGAUAUCAGGAGGAACACCGAUGGCGAAGGCAGGUCUCUGGGCUGUAACUGACGCUGAGGAGCGAAAGCAUGGGGAGCGAACAGGAUUAGAUACCCUGGUAGUCCAUGCCGUAAACGUUGGGCACUAGGUGUGGGGACCAUUCCACGGUUUCCGCGCCGCAGCUAACGCAUUAAGUGCCCCGCCUGGGGAGUACGG